UGCGUAGGGUGCAAGCGUUAAUCGGAAUUACUGGGCGUAAAGCGUGCGCAGGCGGUUAUGUAAGACAGAUGUGAAAUCCCCGGGCUCAACCUGGGAACUGCAUUUGUGACUGCAUAGCUAGAGUACGGUAGAGGGGGAUGGAAUUCCGCGUGUAGCAGUGAAAUGCGUAGAUAUGCGGAGGAACACCGAUGGCGAAGGCAAUCCCCUGGACCUGUACUGACGCUCAUGCACGAAGCGUGGGGAGCA
rnacentral:rRNA from 1 species